GACGAACGCUGGCGGCGUGCCUAAUACAUGCAAGUUGAGCGCUGAAGGUUGGUACUUGUACCAACUGGAUGAGCAGCGAACGGGUAAGUAACGCGUGGGGAAUCUGCCUUUGAGCGGGGGACAACAUUUGGAAACGAAUGCUAAUACCGCAUAAAAACUUUAAACACAAGUUUUAAGUUUGAAAGAUGCAAUUGCAUCACUCAAAGAUGAUCCCGCGUUGUAUUAGCUAGUUGGUGAGGUAAAGGCUCGCCAAGGCGAUGAUACAUAGCCGACCUGAGAGGGUGAUCGGCCACAUUGGGACUGAGACACGGCCCAAACUCCUACGGGAGGCAGCAGUAGGGAAUCUUCGGCAAUGGACGAAAGUCUGACCGAGCAACGCCGCGUGAGUGAAGAAGGUUUUCGGAUCGUAAAACUCUGUUGGUAGAGAAGAACGUUGGUGAGAGUGGAAAGCUCAUCAAGUGACGGUAACUACCCAGAAAGGGACGGCUAACUACGUG
rnacentral:rRNA from 1 species